AUAAAUUAAUCCAUUAAUUUGAAAUUAGUUGGUCGAGAUUUAAGUGUAGAGAUUGCAAUGAUAAUGAUAUGCUUCUCCCAUAUGAAGGAAAAGAUGAGGAUUUUUGAUUUAGUGAUACAAAAUAACAAUCCUAUAGCAAUUAAUAAAGGCCAAUUUAUCGUCCUGUCAGCUCAGCACUAAGAUAAUAAUGUAGGACUUUGUUUCCUGACAAAUAGUCAAAAGAGGUUUCCUUUUCCACUAUAGAUUCUUUUUGUAAUCAAUACAUGCUCUUAUUUUUUAACCCGACUGGCAUUACAGUAAACAGUUACUUCUUUCAAUUGGUUUUUAUAUGCAGGUUUUUACAGAACCUCACUUGAAAACAAAGGUUUGGGGUUUUUUUUUGUUUUGGGGUUUUUUUCUUCAAUAGAGAGGAGAACGUGUUCCAUUAAGAAUCACUUUGAUUCUUGUUGAAAUCUUAAUGUUAUUUCAAAGACUUACCACGUUUCAUCAGGAAAAAGAAAAAACAAAGCAAUACAUUUGGACAAGUGGGGGGAUCAGGUAAUGGUAUAAUACUAUGCCUAUUUUAAAACAGAGGUUUGAAAACGGUCCGGGUUCAAAGUUUCCCUUUUCUAAUAGCAUUGGCUAUUUGUAAAGAUGAUCACUUUUUUUUUUGUUUUUGUUCUUGUUGCACAGCCUGUGUAUCAGAAAAGCUUCUUUCAGAAAUGGUAUCAUGGAAGGAAAAGCCAGAAAGUGUAUUGGCCUGUGCAUCUUACGUUCUUGCAGCACAGAACCAUAGUUCCUCGGGUGGUCUAUAGGCCGCAUGCCAGACCAGACUGGAUUACAAAGCAGCAAAGCCAAGUGGCUGCACACCAAAGGAAGUUUUUCUGGAGAGUCAAGAUGAUCCUAUGGGCAUUCCACGAGUUUAGUAUUAUCUCUUUUGGGAAGCGAUGCUUUAAUAAAAUGUGCUGUUCUUCCACAAGCAAUCAACAGCAUAUAGGAAAUAAAUCCCAGAUGUGAAAUUGUGUGAGCUGUUAGCAAGAAAACAAACAAAGCUUCUGCAUCAAAGGAAUGAUUAUGAUCUGCAUUUUAUAGCAACAUUAACUUCUUCAAUUGUAGCAGAAAAAGAGAAGAAAAAAAGAAGAAAGAAAGAAAAUGAACAAGCAACCUGGAUAAAUGCCAUUGCUUCAUUUUACAUCAGUAUUGGUUGUCCACUUUAUGUGAAAUAUAACUGUAACUAAACAUUUAUUUCACUAAAAUAAAAGCAACCAAUAAUGGCUGGUGACA
rnacentral:lncRNA from 1 species